rnacentral:rRNA from 1 species
UACAGAGGGGGCAAGCGUUGUUCGGAAUUACUGGGCGUAAAGGGCGCGUAGGCGGCCUGUUAAGUCGAACGUGAAAUCCCCGGGCUCAACCCGGGAACUGCGUCCGAUACUGGCAGGCUUGAAUUCGGGAGAGGGAUGCGGAAUUCCAGGUGUAGCGGUGAAAUGCGUAGAUAUCUGGAGGAACACCGGUGGCGAAGGCGGCAUCCUGGACCAAGAUUGACGCUGAGGCGCGAAAGCCAGGGGAGCAAACGGG